GAAUUCGCCCUUAGAGUUUGAUUUUGGCUCAGGAUGAACGCUGGCGGCGUGCCUAACACAUGCAAGUCGAGCGAAGCGCUUUACUUGAAUUCUUCGGAAGGAAAGUAUUGUGACUGAGCGGCGGACGGGUGAGUAACGCGUGGGUAACCUGCCUCAUACAGGGGGAUAACAGUUAGAAAUGACUGCUAAUACCGCAUAAGACCACAGCACCGCAUGGUGCGGGGGUAAAAACUCCGGUGGUAUGAGAUGGACCCGCGUCUGAUUAGCUAGUUGGUAAGGUAAGGGCUUACCAAGGCGACGAUCAGUAGCCGACCUGAGAGGGUGACCGGCCACAUUGGGACUGAGACACGGCCCAAACUCCUACGGGAGGCAGCAGUGGGGAAUAUUGCACAAUGGGGGAAACCUUGAUGCAGCGACGCCGCGUGAGUGAUGAAGUAUUUCGGUAUGUAAAGCUCUAUCAGCAGGGAAGAAAAUGACGGUACCUGACUAAGAAGCACCGGCUAAAUACGUGCCAGCAGCCGCGGUAAUACGUAUGGUGCAAGCGUUAUCCGGAUUUACUGGGUGUAAAGGGAGCGUAGACGGAGAGGCAAGUCUGAUGUGAAAACCCGGGGCUCAACCCCGGGACUGCAUUGGAAACUGUUUUUCUAGAGUGUCGGAGAGGCAAGUGGAAUUCCUAGUGUAGCGGUGAAAUGCGUAGAUAUUAGGAGGAACACCAGUGGCGAAGGCGGCUUGCUGGACGAUGACUGACGUUGAGGCUCGAAAGCGUGGGGAGCAAACAGGAUUAGAUACCCUGGUAGUCCACGCCGUAAA
rnacentral:rRNA from 1 species